rnacentral:rRNA from 1 species
UACGGGGGGGGCAAGCGUUGUUCGGAAUUACUGGGCGUAAAGGGCUCGUAGGCGGCCAACUAAGUCAGACGUGAAAUCCCUCGGCUUAACCGGGGAACUGCGUCUGAUACUGGAUGGCUAGAGGUUGGGAGAGGGAUGCGGAAUUCCAGGUGUAGCGGUGAAAUGCGUAGAUAUCUGGAGGAACACCGGUGGCGAAGGCGGAUCUCUGGGCCUGUCCUGACGCUCAGGCGCGAAAGCUAGGGGAGCAAACAGG